rnacentral:tRNA from 1 species
ACUUAUAUAGUUUAUAUAAAAACAUUUCAUUUUCAAUGAAAAAAUAAAUAUUUAUUUUAUAAGUA